rnacentral:misc_RNA from 1 species
AAAGUCGUAACAAGGUUUCCGUAGGUGAACCUGCGGAAGGAUCAUUAAGAAACAUAGAAUUUCGUAUUCUUAAAACCCCUGCAGUGUACUAGUUCUUGUUGCUUCCGUGGGCAGUAGGCCUUGUGUCUGCGGCCUCCUUCAUGGUGGACCCACGGGAGGCAAUCAUAAACUCCGUCAUCAUAUGGUAUCUGUCUGAGCUUGAUUAGCACAUAAAUGUUAAAAACUUUCAACAACGGAUCUCUUGGUUCUC